rnacentral:lncRNA from 1 species
GUUUUUCAUCUUUCUCUCCAACAACUAGUUCUUCAGGUUUCUCUUCAAGUGCCAGUUCUUCAGGUGUUUCCUCCUUUGCCAGCUCUUCAGGUGUUUCCUCCUUUGCCAGCUCUUCAGGUGUUUCUUUAGCUGCCGGUUCUUCAGGUUUCUCUUCAACCUCCGGUUCUUGUGGUAUUUCCUCUACUUGUACUUCAGAUUUCUCCUCAAUUGUUGGUUCUUCAGGUUUCUCUCUAACCGCUGCUGCAUUAGGUUUCUCUUCAUUGGCUGGUUCUUCAGGUUUUUCUUCAACUACCGAUUCUUCAGGAUUUUCCUCAAUGUUUGGAAAGGGAGCGACAUCAUUAUUGGUAUUGCAUGGAAUUUCACUGCCAGUUUUGUCAUUCAAGUCCACAACUAGUAUAUUCUGCAAAAGAGUUUAAUGUUUCACUUAGUCUUUCAAUAAAGAAGCAGAUGCGAAUCAUUACAUAUACAUAACUAAUAACAUGGAUAAACUUUAUGACAGUAGUUGACCCUUACCUUUUCCACAAGAGUUACUUUUGCAGGUUUCUCCUCUUCAAGUGCUGGUUUCUCUUCAAAUGAUAGUUCAUUAGGUGUUUCUUCCCGUGUUGGUUCUUCAUGUGCUUCUUCAGUUACUGGUUUUUCAGGUUUCUCCUCAAUUGUUGGUUCUUCGCUUGUCUUCUCAACUGAUGGUUCCUCAUGCUUCUCUCCCGUUGUUGAUUUUUCGGGUUUCUCUUCAGUUGUCGAUGGUUCAGUUUUUUUCUCAACCGCUGGUUCUUUUGGCUUCUCCAAAACCAUUUCCGAUUUCUCUUCAGUUGGUGGUUCUUCAUGGUUUUUUUCAACUACUGGUUCUUCUCUUUUUUCCUCAACUGAUGCAUAGUCAGCAAUAUCGUUGUUGGUAUUGCUUGGAAUUGCAUUGUCUGUCUUGUCCUUUGAGCUUACAAUUGGCAUAUUCUGCUAGAAAAAUAUAAAGUUUCAUGUAGUCUUUCAACAGAGAAACCAAUGUAAAUUUGUUGCACAUAUAAAGCUAACAAAUAUGAUGGAUAGACUUUGCGAGAGUGUUUAAUACUCACCUUCUCCGGAAGAGCUUCCGUUUCAGGUUCCUCUUCAAUUUCUGCUUUUUCAUCUUUCUCUUCAACAACUAGUUCUUCAGGUGUCUCUUCAACCGUUGAUUCUUCAGGUUUCUCUUCAAGUGUUAGUUCUUGAGGUGUUUCCUCCUUUGCUAGCUCUUCAGGUGUUUCUGUAACUGCCGGUUCUUCAGGUUCCUCUUCAGCCACCGGCUGUUGACGUAUCUCCUCUACUUGUACUUCAGAUUUCUCCUCAAUUGUUGGUUCUUCAGGUUUCUCCUUAACCGCUGGUACAUCAGGUUUAUCCUCAUUGACUGGUUCUUCAACUGCUGAUUCUUCUAGAUUUUCCUCAAUGUCUGGAAAGCGAGCAACAUCAUUAUUGGUAUUGCAUGGAAUUUCAUUUCCAGUUUCGUUAUUCGAGUCUACAAUUAGCAUAUUCUGCAAAAAGAAUUUAAUGUUUCAUUUAGCCUUUCAAUAAAGAAGCAUAUGCGAAUAACAGUACAUGCAUAACUAACAAAAUGGAUAAACUUUGUGAUAGUGCUUGAUCCUUACCUUUGCCAAAAGAGUUACCUUUUCAGGUUUCUCCUCUUCAACGGUUGGUUCUUCAUGUUUCUUUUCAAAUGCUAGUUCCUUGGUUGUUUCUUCCGGUGUUGGUUCCAUAGGUGUUUCUUCAGUUACUUGUUUUUCGGGUUUCUCUUCAAUUAUUGGUUCUUCGAUUGUCUUCUCAACUGAUGGUUCUUCAAGAUUUUCUCCCACUGUUGGUUUUUGGGGUUUCUCUUCUAUUGUUGGUUGUUCAGGAAUUUUCUCAACUGGUGGUUCUGCUGGAUAUUCCAAAACCAUUGAUUCUUCAGAUUUCUCUUCAAUUGAUGGUUCUUCAUGGGUUUUUUCAACUACUGGUUCUUCAAUUUUUUCCUCAACAGAUGCAUAGUCAACAAUAUCAUUAUUGGUAUUGCUUGGAAUUGCAUCGUCUGUCAUGUCCUUUGAGUUUACUUUUGGCAUAUUCUGCAAUAGAGUUUCAUGUAAUCUUUCAACAGAUAAACAGAUGUAAAUUUGUUGCACAUAUAAAGCUAAUAUGGUGGAUAAACUUUGUGACAGUGUUUAAUCCUCACCUUCUCCUGAAGAUCUUCCGCUUCAAGUUCCUCCUCUACAAUUGCAGUUUUUUCCUCUUCCCCUUCAACAACUAGUUCUUCAGGUGCCUCUUCAGCCGUUGAUUCUUCAGGUUUCUCUUCAAGUGCUAGUUCUUCAGGUGUUUCCUCCUUUGCCAGCUCUUCAGGUGUUUCUUUAGAUGCCGAUUCUUCAGGUUUCUCUUCAGCCAUCGGUUCUUGAGGUAUUUCCUCUACUUGUACUUCAUAUUUCUCCUCAAUUGUUUGUUCUUCAGGUUUCUCUUCAGGUUUCUCCUUAACCACUGGUACAUCAGGUUUCUCUUGAUUAACUGGUUCUUUGGGUUUUUCUUCAACAGCCGAAUCUUCAGGAUUUUCCUCAAUGUCUUGAAAGCAAGCAAUAUCUUUAGUGGUAUUGCAUGGAAUUUCACUGCCAGUUUUGUUGUUCGAGUCUACAAUUAGCAUAUUCUGCAAAAGGAAUUUGAUGUUUCAUUUAGCCUUUUAAUAAAGAAGCAGAUGUGAAUAACAUUACAUGCAUAACUUACAAAAUGGAUAAAUUUUGUGACAGUCCUUGACCCUUACCUUUUCAGGUUUCUCCUCUUCAACAGCUGAUUCUUCAUGUUUCUCUUCAAAUGCUAGUUCUCUGGGUGUUUCUUCCCGUAGUGCUUCUUCAUGUGCUUCUUCAGUUACUGGUUUUUCAGGUUUCUCCUCAAUUGUUGGUUCUUUGAUUGUCUCCUCAACAGAUGGUUCUUCAAGCUUCUCUCCCGUUGUUGAUUUUUCUGGUUUCUCUUCAAUUGCUGGUUGUUCAGGAAUUUUCUCAACAGCUGGUUCUUCUGGCUUCUCUAAAACCAUUGAUUCUUCAGCUUUCUCUUCAAUUGAUGGUUCUUCAUGGUUUUUUUCAACUAUUGGUUCUUCAGUUUUUUCCUCAACGGAUGCAUAGUCAACAAUAUCAUUGUUGGUAUUGCUUGGAAUUGCAUCGUCUGUCAUGUCCUUUGAGUUUACUUUUGGCAUAUUCUACAAUAAAGUUUCAUGUAGUCUUUCAAUAGAUAAACAGAUGUAAAUUUGUUGCAACAUAUAAAGCUAAUAUGGUGGAUAAACUUUGUGACAGUGUUUAAUCCUCACCUUCUCCCGAAGAUCUUCCGCUUUAAGUUCCUCCUCUUCAAUUGCUGUUUUUUCAUCUUUCGUUUCAACAACUAGUUCUUCAGGUGCCUCUUCAGCCGUUGAUUCUUCAGGUUUUUCUUCAAGUGCCAGCUCUUCAGGUGUUUCCUCCUUUGCCAUCUCUUCAGGUGUUUCCUCCUUUGCCAGCUCUUCAGGUGUUUCUUUAGCUGCUGGUUCUUCAGGUUUCUCUUCAGCCGCCAGUUCUUGAGGUAUCUCCUUUUCUACUUCAGAUUUCUCCUCAACUGUUGGUUCUUCAGGUUUCUCUUCAUUAACUGGUUCUUUGGGUUUUUCUUCAACAGCCGAAUCUUCAGGAUUUUCCUCAAUGUCUGGAAAGUGAGCAACAUCUUUAUUGGUAUUGCAUGCAAUUUCACUGUCAGUUUUGUCGUUCAAGUCUACAAUUAGCAUAUUCUGCAAAAAGAAUUUGAUGUUUCAUUUAGCCUAUUAAUAAAGAAGCAGAUGUGAAUAACAUUACAUGCAUAACUUACAAAAUGGAUAAACUUUGUGAUGGUCCUUGACCCUUACCUUUCCAGGCUUCUCCUCUUCAACGGCCAGUUCUUGUUUCUCUUCAAAUGCUAGUUCCCUGGGUGUUUCUUCCUGUAUUGGUUCUUCAUGUGCUUCUUCAGGUACUGGUUUUUCAGGUUUCUCCUCAAUUGUUGGUUCUUCGAUUGUCUCCUCAACAGAUGGUUCUUCAAGGUUCUCUCCCGUUGUUGAGUCUUCUGGUUUCUCUUCAAUUGCUGGUUGUUCAGAAAUUUUCUCAACAGCUGGUUCUUCUGGCUUCUCCAAAACCAUUGAUUCUUCAGCUUUCUCUUCAAUUAAAGGUUCUUCAUGGUUUUUUUCAACUACUGUUUCUUCAGUUUUUUCCUCAACGGAUGCAUAGUCAACAACAUCAUUGUUGGUAUUGCUUGGAAUUGCAUCGUCUGUCAUGUCCUUUGAGCUUACUUUUGGCAUAUUCUGCAAUAAAGUUUCAUGUAGUCUUUCAAUAGAUAAACAGAUGUAAAUUUGUUGCACAUAUAAAGCCAAUAUGGUGGAUACACUUUGUGACAGUGUUUAAUCCUCACCUUCUCCUGAAGAUCUUCCGCUUCAAGUUCUUCCUCUUCAAUUGCUGUUUUUUCAUCUCUCUCUUCAACAACUUGUUCUUCAGGUGCCUCUUCAGCCGUUGAUUCUUCAGGUUUCUCUUCAAGCACUAGUUCUUCAGGUGUUUCCUCCUUUGCCAGCUCUUCAGGUGUUUCUUUAGCUGCCAGUUCUUCAGGUUUCUCUUCAGCUGCCGAUUCUUGAGGUAUUUCCUUUACCUGUACUUUAGAUUUCUCCUCAAAUGUUGGUUCUUCAGGUUUCUCCUUAACCGCAGGUACAUCAGGUUUCUCUUCAGCUGCUGGUUUUUGAGGUUUCUCCUCUACUUGUACCUCGGAUUUCUCCUCAACCAUCGGUUCUUCAGGUUUCUCCUCAACCUCUG